rnacentral:rRNA from 1 species
GACGGAGGAUGCAAGUGUUAUCCGGAAUCACUGGGCGUAAAGCGUCUGUAGGUGGUUCAAUAAGUCAACUGUUGAAUCUUGAGGCUCAACUUCAAAAUCGCAGUCGAAACUAUUGGACUCGAGUAUAGUAGGGGUAAAGGGAAUUUCCAGUGGAGCGGUGAAAUGCGUAGAGAUUGGAAAGAACACCAAUGGCGAAAGCACUUUACUGGGCUAUUACUGACACUGAGAGACGAAAGCUAGGGUAGCAAAUGGG